UCACUGGACCUGCUACUGUUGAGCCAAGUCCUUGGUUUCUAUUACCUGCUCAACUCCUUCUGUGCAUAGCUCCUGACUGCCGAGCUGGGAAGAACUCCAGUCCUUUCCUAGGCUAGGGAUUUUAACAACGGAACAAAAUCCCAGUGCUCUUCAAGGUGACAAGGGGAACCACUAAGGUUUCACAAGGCACAGUUUGUGAACAACUGAUUGGAGCCAGCCUCAUCAGGCUAGAUGUACCUAUAGCAACCAGCAUGGAUCUCAAAAACAUAGUACCAAACGAAAUAAGACAGACUGAGAUUCCGGGGGUACACAUGCAUGUUUGUUACAUGGGUAUAUUGUGCAAUGGUAGAGAUUGGACUUCUAGUAUGCAUGUCACCUGAAUAUUGAACAUUGUAUCCAGCAGGAGAUGUCCCUGAGGAACCCUGGUAUCUGAGAAAUCCUACCUGGAAACUUCUGGCCUAUGAAAUCCAAACAGCCAAUCAAGGUGCUCAUUUGCUUCAAGAUCAUGGUCUCCGGAGAGGCAAAUUGCCAUGUACAGUUCCAUCUGGUAUCUCUGCUGGGCUGCUCACCUGGUCCACCCUUCAAGAUGGCAUUGGUCUAAACUUCCCACCAAACUAUCUAGUCUCACUCAGCUACUCGUACUCCCAGUCAGCCUAGUCCCAAGGGACCAUGAAGGGACCAUGCCUUCCUCUUGACCCUAAUGUCCCUUGUAUUUGUCAGACACCCUCCCAGAGGGCAGGGAACAGACUCUGGGGAGCCCUGAAACCAGAGAAACCCAGGACAAGCUAUUUCCAACUCAGAAUGUUCUGGCCACCCACCCAGGCUUUGUCUGAUUUCUGAUGUUCUUUAGAAUCUUCUCAUUACAUCACUAAGAAAAGCAUGAUUAAGUCCAUACACACACACACACACACACACGCACACACACAUACAUAUAAAAGAUAAAUGUGUAUCUUUAAUAACUUUUAUUAUGUUUUCUGAUUACAAAAGUAAUAUAUUGCCACAAUAUUAGAAGAACUGUAUCGAAUACAGAAAAUUAUAAAAAAUAAAAAAGAUAAAGUAUAAGGCCUCCACACAGAGAUAGGCAUUAUUAAUUCUUUGGUAUAGUCCCUUUGAAUAUUUUUAUAUGAAUACAUUCACAUUUGUUCAUACAAUUUAGAUUAUAAUUCUAUAACUAUAGGUUACAUGUCAUUGAAAAAUUCUUCAAGAACAAAAUUUUGAAUAACUCAAUUAUAUUUCUUCGAUUGGGGUAUACUUGUUCAAUAAACAAUAACUCACAUUUAUUGAGCACUUACUAUGUGCAGGCCUUGUAUUUGGUGUUUGGUGUUGAUUUAUUAACAAACAGGAGUUUACACUCAGGGAGCUAACAGUCUAUAGUAUACGGUAUAUUUUUAACAAAUGAACAUGAGAACAAAGCUACAAUUACAAAUUAUGCUAGAUUUAAUCAUAGGAAAGAAUAGAAUUCUAUGAGAAAGCUUAGCACAACUAACUUUGGGGAUACAGGAAAAGUCUCUCUGAGGAAGUCGUAUUUCAUUUGGGACCCAAAAGAUAAGUAUAAGUUAAAGUGUGGGGGAGAGGAAGAAUAAUUCAGACUGUGUUAGAUUUUGCGGCAUUAAUUCUGCAUCACAAUCAUAAGCAGUCUCAGUGGCUUGCAAUACCAUUUACUGUUCUCACUCAGUCUCGGAUUUGGCUGGAGUCUGGGUGAUCUCGGCUGGACUCAGCUGGGCUCAGCAUCAGGCUGCAGGUUGGUUUUGAGUUAGCUCCAGUGUCCCACUCAGAGCCAAAAAGCUACAGGAACACGAUCUCUCAUGGUGGAUGACAGAAGUGGAAGAGGCCAAGACAAACAUCCCAAACACAUCUAAAGCCUCUGCUAGCAU
rnacentral:lncRNA from 1 species